rnacentral:rRNA from 1 species
AUGGAUGAGGAGAAGAAGUUGAAGGCGGUAUCAAUUGUGGGAUUUGGAAGUCUGGGAAAAACAACACUUGCCAAUGAGGUAUACCGUAGAGUCAAGGGAGAAUUUGACACUCAUGCGCUCGUGACGGUGUCUCAAAAGCCUGACAUUCAAAAACUUCUCCAUCCUUUACUAUCCAAACUUGGCACAGAGACAUCUAUUCACACUUGUGAGUCACGUCUUAUCGAAAUGCUCAGAGAACAUCUCCAAACUAAGAGUUGCUUUUAA